GAAUCUAAGGAAGAAAUUCCAAUACUUGACCUUACAGGAGAUUCACCAAAGAAAAAGAAAAAAAAGAGGGAGAAGAAGGGCUAAAAUAAGAUAGAAGAACCAAAAAGCGAGGAACAAAGAAGAGUGAAAAAAAAGGCAAAAAAUAAAGUUGAAAAAAAGGAAUUAAAGAAAGAAAGAAUGGAGAAAAAAAGGCAAAAAAUAAAGUUGAAAAAAAGGAA
rnacentral:lncRNA from 1 species